rnacentral:ncRNA from 2 species
CAAGCAAAAAGAGGUCGCGGCUGGUCAAGAGUACCGCAAGGGAAAGGGACGGUCGCCGAAGCAUGCGAAUGCUGGACCCAGGUUGAACAAAUGUGGGGCUGUUCCCUUGUCGUUGCCCGAUGACACUGGAUUGCGCUUUAGCUUGG